CAUCCUCGAUUCCUCGUCUCAUUCUCGCCGCCCGCCUCCCUCUCCAUCGUAUGAGUACUGCUAGUUAAGCUACCCCAUGCCAUCGUGGUGCAGAGCUGGCCGGCCGGAUGCGGCCAGAUGGCUACUUCGAUAAGACCAUCUGGGCUGCCCUACGCCAGCUGUGAUGCUUGCUUGGAAGGUUUAUGCAUACCAAUAUCAUGGGCACCUAAACCACUGUGACAGGGAUCAUAUCCAUUGCGGCUCUGGAAUACCACAGCUGCCAAUGGAGAUGCUCACACGCACGUCUGUUGCUGCUUUGCUACUACUUGGGCUUCAAAUCCAGUUUACCACCAUCCAGCCAGAGAAUUAGAAGGUCAAAUGCCAUCUUAUUUGAUCAGCAUUUGUGUAACCUUAAUAGACGAUCUCUAAUUAUGCCUGAUUACUUUAUACUUAAAUUCACAGGAAUACAUGAAUAUGCAAUUUCAUAUGACAUUAAUUUCAUGAGUUUAUGAUAAGAAUGAAACUCAUGUAUCAUAAAUGGAUUGUCCCAAGAUCUAUCUUUGGUUGCUCUAAAUUGACGAACAAUCUAUGUAGGUGAAACUUCUAUUUGCAUUUUUUUAGAUAUGCAGGAAAGCAACCUAUGAAAUUUUAUAUUAUUUUGGUGCUAAUAUUUGUAGUUUUUUAUAAGGAAUAUUCUUGCGGGUAAGAUUUUAAGUACAGGGAUUGUAUAUCUACUCCACCAGCAAUUGAUGGCCCCUCCAUCGCCGACUUGUCCACGGUCUCCCAACCUCGCUUAACUGUGCUGGCUAAGGGUGAUUGUGUGAAACAGACACUCUUGAAAAAUCUUUCCAGAUGUGAUGGUAUGCAAAAUUGACGCUCUUGAAAAAUCCUUCCUAGGAACGUACCCUCCCCUUCAUGGUCUACAAGACAUGCCUCGAUCGGGUGUAGGGGCGGAGCUGGCCCUUCUUACCAGGGUCAGCUGACCCGAUGGAGUUCUAAAUUCCUUAACUAAAAUCACUGUUCAUCACUAAUUUAAGUAUGUUCGACCCCGUCAUUUAAAAUAGCUGACCCAGUGGCCUUUCAGUCUGGCUUCGCCCCUGA